GGGGUUGUAGCUCAGGGGUAGAGCGCUCGCUUUGCAUCUUAAGCCUGCGAGAGGCCCGGAGUUCGAAUCUCCGCUGCUCCA
rfam:Exophiala mesophila strain CBS 40295 unplaced genomic scaffold supercont1.2, whole genome shotgun sequence.